rnacentral:rRNA from 1 species
UAACUGGAGGAAGGUGGGGAUGACGUCAAGUCCUCAUGGCCCUUAUGNGUAGGGCUUCACACGUCAUACAAUGGUCGGGACAGAGGGUNGNCAACCCGCGAGGGNGAGCCAAUNUCAGAAACCCGAUCGUAGUCCGGAUCGCAGUCUGCAACUCGACUGCGUGAAGUCGGAAUCGCUAGUAAUCGCGGAUCAGAAUGUCGCGGUGAAUACGUUCCCGGGUCNUGUACACACCGCCCGUCACACCCNGGGAGUGGGUUUCACCNGAAGUAGGUAGCCUAACCGUAAGGAGGGCGCUUACCACGGUGGGAUUCAUGACUGGNGGAAGUCG